GCAGCCCUGUGCUCGUUGCCUCAGGGCAGAAGUCACAAGCAACCUGGGACUCCACAGGACUUGUUUCCAAAUCUGAACCCCUUGGGUCUAGGGUAGAAUUCUCAGGAAAGGAAGAACCACCUGGAAUCCAGAAAGGAAAUGGAUGUAGUACAUCUAGGCAGAUUAAUCUCUCUGGGAGAAGAAGUUGCCGUGUUAUGAACAGCUCUAGGAAAGGCCCAAGUUGUAAAGAACUGAAGCCUCUGGAUGAUAGCUAGUAAGGACCUGAAGGCUUCAAUACAACAGACUGAAGUAACUGAGGCCUGCCAAUGACCACGUGAGUGAGCUUGGAAACAGAGUCUCCAUCCUCAGUCAAGCCUUGAGGUGACUGCAACCUCCUAAGAGACUCUGAACAAGAACCCCCUAGCUCAGCCACUCCCAGAUUACUGGCCC
rnacentral:lncRNA from 1 species